AACGAACGCUGGCGGCAUGCCUAACACAUGCAAGUCGAACGGUCCUUCGGGAUAGUGGCGAACGGGUGAGUAACGCGUGGGAACUUGCCCUGGAGUGGGGAACAACCGCUGGAAACGGCGGCUAAUACCGCAUACGCCUGCCGGGCAACUGGCAGGGAAAGCUUUAUGCGCUCCGGGAGAGUCCCGCGUCCGAUUAGCUAGUUGGGGGGGUAACGGCCCACCAAGGCUUCGAUCGGUAGCUGGUCUGAGAGGAUGAUCAGCCACACUGGGACUGAGACACGGCCCAGACUCCUACGGGAGGCAGCAGUGGGGAAUAUUGGACAAUGGGGGCAACCCUGAUCCAGCAAUGCCGCGUGCGUGAAGAAGGCCUUAGGGUUGUAAAGCGCUUUCGCCCGCGACGAUGAUGACGGUAGCGGGAGAAGAAGCCCCGGCUAACUCCG
rnacentral:rRNA from 1 species